rnacentral:rRNA from 1 species
ACGAACGGCUGGCGGCGUGCCUAAUACAUGCAAGUCGAACGAACUCUGGUAUUGAUUGGUGCUUGCAUCAUGAUUUACAUUUGAGUGAGUGGCGAACUGGUGAGUAACACGUGGGAAACCUGCCCAGAAGCGGGGGAUAACACCUGGAAACAGAUGCUAAUACCGCAUAACAACUUGGACCGCAUGGUCCGAGUUUGAAAGAUGGCUUCGGCUAUCACUUUUGGAUGGUCCCGCGGCGUAUUAGCUAGAUGGUGGGGUAACGGCUCACCAUGGCAAUGAUACGUAGCCGACCUGAGAGGGUAAUCGGCCACAUUGGGACUGAGACACGGCCCAAACUCCUACGGGAGGCAGCAGUAGGGAAUCUUCCACAAUGGACGAAAGUCUGAUGGAGCAACGCCGCGUGAGUGAAGAAGGGUUUCGGCUCGUAAAACUCUGUUGUUAAAGAAGAACAUAUCUGAGAGUAACUGUUCAGGUAUUGACGGUAUUUAACCAGAAAGCCACGGCUAACUACGUGCCAGCAGCCGCGGUAAUACGUAGGUGGCAAGCGUUGUCCGGAUUUAUUGGGCGUAAAGCGAGCGCAGGCGGUUUUUUAAGUCUGAUGUGAAAGCCUUCGGCUCAACCGAAGAAGUGCAUCGGAAACUGGGAAACUUGAGUGCAGAAGAGGACAGUGGAACUCCAUGUGUAGCGGUGAAAUGCGUAGAUAUAUGGAAGAACACCAGUGGCGAAGGCGGCUGUCUGGUCUGUAACUGACGCUGAGGCUCGAAAGUAUGGGUAGCAAACAGGAUUAGAUACCCUGGUAGUCCAUACCGUAAACGAUGAAUGCUAAGUGUUGGAGGGUUUCCGCCCUUCAGUGCUGCAGCUAACGCAUUAAGCAUCCG